CCGUGAUCAUCAAUGCUGCCGACACAAUUAAUGCGUGUUUUUUGCGAGAAUUACGCGUGGACAUACGCGAAGAGAGAAUUAUCAAUGUUUAUCAGAUUUGGAAUGCGAAAUCAAACGAUAUAAAUCGAAGGAAAUGAUAUUAAUCGUAUGAAAAAGUAUUGGGACGUUGGGUAUAUACUUACAAAAUGGCAUGGUAUUUAUGAAUGACUUUUUAUCGAUCUACAGUACGAGUAUAUUUAUUAUAACCAUGAAAGAAUUGGCUAAAUGAAAUCAUCGCACACGUUGUCGUUUUGUUAAAUUGACAUAUUGUUGCCAGGACUUUGGAGUGACAGCUUUCGCUUGUGUUAAAAACUUGAAGCUUUAAACAAUACAGUACAUUAUGGUCAAUGGUCAACACUGAACAUGUUGUAGCCUGUGGUCUUUGUGCUUUUGUAAAUGGAGUUAUCUAUAUAAAUUUAAGAUGCCAGGUGUUUUUGUAGCAUCUGUAUAAAUUAUAGAAUAAUUGAUUUAAGAAGUUCCUCAGGUUGUAAAACAUUUGGUUAUAGACUUGCUUUGUAAAUGAUUGCCACUUGACAGCAUGAUGGGCUAUUCCAUUUAAUAUCCGUACACCCCCUGUCAAGGAUACAUGUUUUUCAUGGUUAUACCCCUGAAGAAUUUCAAACUCAAAACCUUUUACCCCUGAAGAAUUCCAAGCUCAAAACCCUUUACCCCUGAAGAAUUCCAAACUCAAAACACUUUACCCCUGAAGAAUUCCAAGCUCAAAACCCUUUACCCCUGAAGAAUUCCAAGCUCAAAACCCUUUACCCCAGAAGAAUUGCAAACUCGAAACACUUUACCCCUGAAGAAUUCCAAGCUCAAAACACUUUACCCCUGAAGAAUUUCAAGCUCAAAACCCUUUACCCCUGAAGAAUUCCAAGCUCAAAACCCUUUACCCCAGAAGAAUUCCAAACUCGAAACACUUUACCCCUGAAGAAUUCCAAGCUCAAAACACUUUACCCCUGAAGAAUUCCAAGCUCAAAACCCUUUACCCCUGAAGAAUUCCAGGGAUCCUCAACAGGGGGGGGUAUGGAUAUUAAAUGGAAUAGCCUGAUGUAAGGCUAUAACUAAGCCAAACCUGAAACAAUUUUUACAUCAAUUUGUGUCUGGAUAAAAAAUAAGUAGUGAAUUUAAAUACAG